CAGGAUGAACGCUAGCUACAGGCUUAACACAUGCAAGUCGAGGGGCAGCAUGUUGGUGCUGCAACCAAUGAUGGCGACCGGCGCACGGGUGAGUAACGCGUAUCCAACCUUCCCCUUAGUAGAGGAUAGCCCGGCGAAAGUCGGAUUAAUACUCUAUGUUCUUCAAUGCGGACAUCUAAGUUGAAGCAAAGAUUUAUCGCUAAGGGAUGGGGAUGCGUCUGAUUAGGUUGCAGGGCGGGGUAACGGCCCACCUGGCCUACGAUCAGUAGGGGUUCUGAGAGGAAGGUCCCCCACACUGGUACUGAGACACGGACCAGACUCCUACGGGAGGCAGCAGUGAAGGAAUAUUGGUCAAUGGGCGCGAGCCUGAACCAGCCAAGUAGCGUGCAAGGACGACUGCCCUAUGGGUUGUAAACUGUCUUUUAUCAGGGAAUAAAGUGAGGCACGCGUGUCCUUUUUGUAUGUACCUGAUGAAUAAGGACCGGCUAAUUCCGUGCCAGCAGCCGC
rnacentral:rRNA from 1 species